UACGUAGGGUGCGAGCGUUGUCCGGAAUUAUUGGGCGUAAAGAGCUCGUAGGCGGUGUGUCACGUCGGCCGUGAAAACCUGGGGCUUAACUCUGGGCGUGCGGUCGAUACGGGCAUCACUGGAGUUCGGCAGGGGAGACUGGAAUUCCUGGUGUAGCGGUGAAAUGCGCGGAUAUCAGGAGGAACACCGGUGGCGAAGGCGGCAUCCUGGACCAAUAUUGACGCUGAGGAGCGAAAGCCAGGGGAGCAAACGGG
rnacentral:rRNA from 1 species